rnacentral:lncRNA from 1 species
ACACAGGGCUUGGGCCUCAGGCCCUCUGAGAUCCCGCCGGCAUCGUCUCUGGGUGCAGGCAGCCCCAGUGGGGCCCAGGCGGAGCUGGCCAAGACCACAGGACCUUGGUGGCAGGCAGAGGCCAAUGGCUCACCAGGCUGGUGGCUCCAGGAAGUUAAGGCAUCUGUUCAUGUGUCAGGGGAAGGGCAGGAGGAGUGCAGAGACCUUCAGGGGCAACCUGAGACCCCCCCCCCACCCAGCCCAACCCACGGAGGCCUGGGCUCCCCGAGGAGGAAGUGGCUUAGUCUAAAGUGCUUGGUUGGGUAGGGAGGCUGGGCAAAGGUCGUGCCGGUCCCCACAGCUCUGGGACUGCCCCCCUGUGGGGUGCUGGACCCCCUGCAGCAGGUGGGGGACUCCCUGAGGUCAUGUGGACACAGGGUCUCAGGCCCUGGCAGGCUGGGAAUCUGUCAAGCUGUGGCUGGUGGAGCAGAGAGCCCAGCCCACCCCCAGCCCUGCCCCAGGGUCCACUGCAGUCUGACCUCCUGGGUCCCCAGCUGGGCUGUCCUGGGCCCCAGAGCCGCCUACUUGUCAUCCUGCUAGGGCCCCGAGAGGCUGGGGAAAAGACUGGAGGCAGCCAAGUGCAGGCGGCACAUGGCCCCGCGUGGGGGUGCCCCGGCGGCCUGGCUCCAGGGGGCCCGCAGUGGUGGGCGGUCCUCCGGGCGGCCAAGGUGGCACAGGUGCAGCCCAGGAGGCACCCAAGGCUGGCCACGCCGCCCCCAUCCACGGGUGCAGGUGCCAAUCCGCCCCCUGCGGGCCGCGGCGUCCGUGAGAGAGAAGCAGAAAGGUGGAGGUCAGCUUCGGGGCCCUACAGCCCGCACGCCUCCCACGCUGGGACAGCCCCAGCCCAGAAUGUCUCAGCCCUGAACAGCUGUGCAUCCCUCACACUCCCUCAGCCCUGCCCCUGGCAUGUGGCAGGCAGGAGAGUUCCAGCAGGUUCAGCGGCCCCCACAGGGCCCUGAGCCAACAGGUGGCCCCUAUGCACCCCCAUUUCAUCUCCCCAAGCUCUCGGGUUCCUGAGAGUCCCCUGUGGGUAGCGGCAGACCCAAGUCUUUCCCCCAAACACCCUGUCACUGCCAGAACUGACACAGACCCAAGGCGAGAGACCCUCACACUUCCCAGCCACAGACCAUCGGCCGCCCCCUCUUCCCAAGCCUCUGACUCAGCCCAAGUCGGCAGAAAUGCCCCUGAGGAACCCACCGACCCCUGCACACCAGACAGCAGCCACUCCCUCUUCUGGGGCCCGGCCCCUGCCCUCCCCUAACUCGGGAUCCUGCAGCAAUAGCCCUGGCCUUGCCCAAGGAAAGAAUCAAAAUAACUCUUUUUCUUUUUUUUAAUAAAAUUAUAGAUAUAUAGAUGUAGAUAUAAAAACAUAAAACAGACACAACGCAAGCAGACGCUGUCAUGUGCUUACUCUCAGGUCCCUGACACCAAGGGAAGCACUGACCCCUCCCCAGUGUGCUUUCCCACGGCGCGAGCACCGCAGCCAGGCC